UGACGGGGGCCCGCACAAGCGGUGGAGCAUGUGGUUUAAUUCGAAGCAACGCGAAGAACCUUACCAGGUCUUGACAUCCUUUGACCGCUCUAGAGAUAGAGCUUCCCUUCGGGGGCAAAGUGACAGGUGGUGCAUGGUUGUCGUCAGCUCGUGUCGUGAGAUGUUGGGUUAAGUCCCGCAACGAGCGCAACCCUUAUUGUUAGUUGCCAUCAUUCAGUUGGGCACUCUAGCAAGACUGCCGGUGACAAACCGGAGGAAGGUGGGGAUGACGUCAAAUCAUCAUGCCCCUUAUGACCUGGGCUACACACGUGCUACAAUGGGAAGUACAACGAGUUGCGAAGUCGCGAGGCUAAGCUAAUCUCUUAAAGCUUCUCUCAGUUCGGAUUGCAGGCUGCAACUCGCCUGCAUGAAGCCGGAAUCGCUAGUAAUCGCGGAUCAGCACGCCGCGGUGAAUACGUUCCCGGGCCUUGUACACACCGCCCGUCACACCACGAGAGUUUAUAACACCCGAAGUCGGUGGGGUAACCUUUUUGGAU
rnacentral:rRNA from 1 species